GGGGGUGUAGUGUCAAUGGCAGCACAACGGUCUCCAAAACCGUUAGUUGGGGUUCAAAUCCCUACACCCCUG
rnacentral:tRNA from 1 species